UCGCAGGCGGUUUCUUAAGUCUGAUGUGAAAGCCCCCGGCUCAACCGGGGAGGGUCAUUGGAAACUGGGAAACUUGAGUGCAGAAGAGGAGAGUGGAAUUCCACGUGKAGCGGUGAAAUGSGUARARAUGUGGAGGAACMCCAGUGGCGAAGGCGACUCUCUGGUCUGUAACUGACGCUGAGGAGCGAAAGCGUGGGGAGCGAACAGGAUUAGAUACCCUGGUAGUCCACGCCGUAAACGAUGAGUGCUAAGUGUUAGGGGGUUUCCGCCCCUUAGUGCUGCAGCUAACGCAU
rnacentral:rRNA from 1 species